rnacentral:rRNA from 1 species
GAUUAACGCUGGCGGCGUGCAUAACACAUGCAAGUCGAACGAUGAAGAUUAUUAGACUUCUUCGGAAUGGAAAUAAUUGGAUUAGUGGCGGACGGGUGAGUAACGCGUGAGUAACCUGCCUUACACAAGGGGAUAGCCGUUGGAAACGACGAAUAAUACCCUAUGAAACUAUCACUUCGCAUGAAGCGAUAGUCAAAGUGUUAGCGGUGUAAGAUGGACUUGCGUCUGAUUAGCUAGUUGGUGAGAAAAAAGCCCACCAAGGCAACGAUCAGUAGCCGGCUUGAGAGAGUGUACGGCCACAUUGGGACUGAGACACGGCCCAG